rnacentral:rRNA from 1 species
CCUACGGGAGGCAGCAGUGAGGAAUAUUGGUCAAUGGGCGUAAGCCUGAACCAGCCAAGUCGCGUGAGGGAUGAAGGUUCUAUGGAUCGUAAACCUCUUUUAUAAGGGAAUAAAGUGUGGGACGUGUCCUGUUUUGUAUGUACCUUAUGAAUAAGGAUCGGCUAACUCCGCGCCAGCAGCCGAGGUAAUACGGAGGAUCCGAGCGUGAUCCGGAUUUAUUGGGUUUAAAGGGUGUGUAGGCGGCCUUUUAAGUCAGCGGUGAAAGUCUGUGGCUCAACCAGAGAAUUGCCGUUGAAACUGGGAGGCUUGAGUAUGUUUGAGGCAGGCGGAAUGCGUGGUGUAGCGGUGAAAUGCUUAGAGAUCACGCAGAACCCCGAUUGCGAAGGCAGCCUGCCAAGCCAUGACUGACGCUGAUGCGCGAAAGCGUGGGGAUCAAACAGGAUUAGAUACCCUUGUAGUC